rnacentral:rRNA from 1 species
CGCUGGCGGCGUGCCUAAUACAUGCAAGUCGAACGCACUCUCGUUUAGAUUGAAGGAGCUUGCUCCUGAUUGAUAAACAUUUGAGUGAGUGGCGGACGGGUGAGUAACACGUGGGUAACCUGCCCUAAAGUGGGGGAUAACAUUUGGAAACAGAUGCUAAUACCGCAUAAAACCUAACACCGCAUGGUGUAGGGUUGAAAGAUGGUUUCGGCUAUCACUUUAGGAUGGACCCGCGGUGCAUUAGUUAGUUGGUGAGGUAAAAGGCUCACCAAGACCGUGAUGCAUAGCCGACCUGAGAGGGUAAUCGGCCACACUGGGACUGAGACACGGCCCCAGACUCCUACGGAGGCAGCAGUAGGGAAUCUUCCACAAUGGACGAAAGUCUGAUGGAGCAACGCCGCGUGAGUGAAGAAGGUUUUCGGAUCGUAAAACUCUGUUGUUGGAGAAGAAUGUAUCUGAUAGUAACUGAUCAGGUAGUGACGGUAUCCAACCAGAAAGCCACGGCUAACUACGUGC